UACGUAGGGUGCGAGCGUUAAUCGGAAUUACUGGGCGUAAAGCGUGCGCAGGCGGUUUUGUAAGUCAGAUGUGAAAUCCCCGAGCUCAACUUGGGAACUGCGUUUGAAACUACAAGACUAGAAUAUGUCAGAGGGGGGUAGAAUUCCACGUGUAGCAGUGAAAUGCGUAGAGAUGCGGAGGAAUACCAAUGGCGAAGGCAGCCCCCUGGGAUAAUAUUGACGCUCAUGCACGAAAGCGUGGGGAGCAAACAGG
rnacentral:rRNA from 1 species